rnacentral:tRNA from 1 species
AAUAAAGUAAGCUAAGUUAAGCUAUUGGGUUCAUACCCCAAAUAUGAUAAAUUAAAUCCUUUAUUA